rnacentral:tRNA from 1 species
UACAUUUUAGUAUAAGAGGUAUAUGAAUUUUUGAUAUUCAAGGUUUUGGUUUGAUUCCCAAAAAUGUAA